GAGUUAGAGGGACCUGGAGACCCUCAGCAAAGACCUGCUCAGUAAGUGUCCAGGGGACGAUCUUCUGAUCCCUCUAUUCUGAGUGGGAGGAGGCCCAGGUACAGUGUGAAUCUCAAACCAAACAAAUAGAGCCUACAUGCAGGACAGUGCCCUGUGCCUCCUUAGUGACAUGUCUUGUCUCACACCAAUCCUCCAGUCUCCCCUUUAGUACACACUCAGCUCUAAUUCUGAUGCAGAACCUCCUCUGGUCCUGGAACCUGCACAGGGAGGACACUCAGAGUCUUUGCUAGAGAUAGAGAUAGAGAUAGAGAGAGAUGAGAUAAACCAAACACAGAUAAGAAGAGACUACAAGCAAAGCUGUACAGCUUCUGGCCACCAUUCACACUUCUACCAAAGUGUAGAUGGUC